UACAGGGGGGGCAAGCGUUGUUCGGAAUUACUGGGCGUAAAGGGUUCGUAGGUGGCCACUUAAGUCAGACGUGAAAUCCCUCAGCUUAACUGGGGAACUGCGUCUGAUACUGAGUGGCUUGAGUGCAGGAGAGGAAUGCGGAAUUCCAGGUGUAGCGGUGAAAUGCGUAGAUAUCUGGAGGAAUACCAGUGGCGAAAGCGGCACCCUAGCGUUGUUCUGACGCUCAUGUGCGAAAGCGUGGGGAGCAAACGGG
rnacentral:rRNA from 1 species